rnacentral:rRNA from 1 species
UACGAAGGGGACUAGCGUUGUUCGGAUUUACUGGGCGUAAAGCGCGCGUAGGCGGAUCGCUAAGUCAGGGGUGAAAUCCCAGGGCUCAACCCUGGAACUGCCUUUGAUACUGACGAUCUGGAGAUCGGGAGAGGUUGGUGGAAUUCCGAGUGUAGAGGUGAAAUUCGUAGAUAUUCGGAGGAACACCAGAAGCGAAGGCGGCCAACUGGCACGAUACUGACGCUGAUGAGCGAAAGCUAGGGGAGCAAACGGG